AUACGUAGGUGACAAGCGUUAUCCGGAUUUACUGGGUGUAAAGGGCGUGUAGGCGGAGAUGCAAGUCAGGAGUGAAAUCUAGGGGCUCAACCCCUAAACUGCUUUUGAAACUGUAUCCCUUGAGUAUCGGAGAGGCAGGCGGAAUUCCUAGUGUAGCGGUGAAAUGCGUAGAGAUUAGGAGGAACACCAGUGGCGAAGGCGGCCUGCUGGACGACAACUGACGCUGAGGCGCGAAAGCGUGGGGAGCAAACAGGAUUAGAUACCCUGGUAGUCCACGCUGUAAACGAUGAAUACUAGGUGUGGGGGGACUGACCCCCUCCGUGCCGCAGUUAACACAAUAAGUAUUCCACCUGGGGAGUACGAUCGCAAGAUUGAAACUCAAAUGAAUUGACGGGG
rnacentral:rRNA from 1 species